GAGGAGGAGGAUUUUGGGGCUGUGAGAGUUCAGAGAGGAGAGUGACGGUGACACCUCUGUUUGGUCACAGCGGGAGCAGUGGUAUCCUGGGUUUAAGCGGGCGGAGGUGGACGCAGAACCGCCGUGCACGAUGCGGCUUCCUCUGGCGUGGACGGCGGCGGCGGCUGGUUUUGCUGUAGCGACGAAGACGUGACGUGAAGGAGCAUGGUGCUUCCCUCUCGCGCGAGGAAGAGAAGGAGGAAGAGAUCGGAGCGGUCGCCGACAAUGACUUUGACGGCGACCAGCGAAGCCGGCGACAUCCUGGCUCCCGGCUUGCGGUGGCCGACUUGGCGGAGGCGGCAGCGUGGUGGCGG
rnacentral:lncRNA from 1 species